rnacentral:rRNA from 1 species
AUUGAACGCUGGCGGCAGGCCUUACACAUGCAAGUCGAACGGAGCGGCGAACGGGUGAGUAAUGUCUAGGAAUCUGCCUAGUAGCGGGGGAUAACGUACGGAAACGGUAGCUAAUACCGCAUACUAUCAGAUCAGCCUAGAUCGGAUAAGCUAGUUGGUGGGGUAAAGGCCCACCAAGGCGACGAGCCGUAGCUGGGCUGAGAGGCAGAUCAGCCAAAAUGGAACUUAGACACGGUCCAGACUCCUACGGGAGGCAGCAGUGGGGAAUAUUGUACAAGGGGCGAAAGCCUGAUCCAGCCAUGACGCGUGUGUGAUGAAGGCCUUCGGAUUGUAAAGCACUUUAAGUUGGGAGGCGGUACCAACAGAAUAAGCACCGGCUAACUACGUGCCAGCAGCCGCGGUAAUUC